AAAGGAAUUGACGGGGGCCCGCACAAGCGGAGGAACAUGUGGUUUAAUUCGAUGAUACGCGAGGAACCUUACCCGGGCUUAAAUGUAGGAUGCAUGUAGUGGAAACACUCUUCCCUUCGGGGCUGCCUACAAGGUGCUGCAUGGUUGUCGUCAGCUCGUGCCGUGAGGUGUCGGGUUAAGUCCCAUAACGAGCGCAACCCCUAUCGUUAGUUGCCAUCGGGUGAAGCCGGGAACUCUAGCGAGACUGCCACCGUAAGGUGAGAGGAAGGUGGGGAUGACGUCAAAUCAGCACGGCCCUUAUGUCCGGGGCUACACACGUGUUACAAUGGACGGUACAGAGGGCCGCUACCCCGCGAGGGGAUGCCAAUCUCGAAAGCCGUUCUCAGUUCGGAUCGCAGUCUGAAACCCGACUGCGUGAAGUUGGAUUCGCUAGUAAUCGCGCAUCAGCCAUGGCGCGGUGAAUACGUUCCCGGGCCUUGUACACACCGCCCGU
rnacentral:rRNA from 1 species